rnacentral:rRNA from 1 species
AUUGAACGCUGGCGGCAGGCUUAACACAUGCAAGUCGAGCGGAGUGAUGGUGCUUGCACUAUUACUUAGCGGCGGACGGGUGAGUAAUGCUUAGGAAUCUGCCAUUUAGUGGGGGACAACAUUCCGAAAGGAAUGCUAAUACCGCAUACGUCCUACGGGAGAAAGCAGGGGAUCUUCGGACCUUGCGCUAGAUGAUGAGCCUAAGUCGGAUUAGCUAGUUGGUGGGGUAAAGGCCUACCAAGGCGACGAUCUGUAGCGGGUCUGAGAGGAUGAUCCGCCACACUGGGACUGAGACACGGCCCAGACUCCUACGGGAGGCAGCAGUGGGGAAUAUUGGACAAUGGGCGGGAGCCUGAUCCAGCCAUGCCGCGUGUGUGAAGAAGGCCUUUUGGUUGUAAAGCACUUUAAGCGAGGAGGAGGCUCUCCUAGUUAAUACCUAGAAAGAGUGGACGUUACUCGCAGAAUAAGCACCGGCUAACUCUGUGCCAGCAGCCGCCGUAAUAC